rnacentral:rRNA from 1 species
GACAGAGGGGGGCAAGCGUUGCUCGGAAUCACUGGGCGUAAAGGGCGCGUAGGCGGGAUGGCAAGUCAGUCGUGAAAUCUCUCGGCUCAACCGAGAAACGUCGGCUGAUACUGCCGUUCUUGAGGGAUGCAGAGGAGACUGGAAUUCCCGGUGUAGCGGUGAAAUGUGUAGAGAUCGGGAGGAACACCGGUGGCGAAGGCGGGUCUCUGGGCAUUUCCUGACGCUGAGGCGCGAAAGCGUGGGGAGCAAACGGGG